rnacentral:tRNA from 1 species
GCCGCCGUGGCGGAAUUGGUAGACGCUGCGGACUUAAAAUCCGCUUCUGGCAACGGAGUGAGGGUUCGAGUCCCUCCGGCGGCA